rnacentral:rRNA from 1 species
AUGAACGCUGGCGGCGUGCUUAACACCUGCCAGUCGAACGAAGCAUUUAGGACAGAUUACUUCGGUUUGAAGUUCUUUAUGACUGAGUGGCGGACGGGUGAGUAACGCGUGGGUAACCUGCCUUGUACUGGGGGAUAGCAGCUGGAAACGGCUGGUAAUACCGCAUAAGCGCACAAUGUUGCAUGACAUGGUGUGAAAAACUCCGGUGGUAUAAGAUGGACCCGCGUCUGAUUAGCUAGUUGGUGAGAUAACAGCCCACCAAGGCGACGAUCAGUAGCCGACCUGAGAGGGUGACCGGCCACAUUGGGACUGAGACACGGCCCAGACUCCUACGGGAGGCAGCAGUGGGGAAUAUUGCACAAUGGAGGAAACUCUGAUGCAGCGACGCCGCGUGAGUGAAGAAGUAAUUCGUUAUGUAAAGCUCUAUCAGCAGGGAAGAUAGUGACGGUACCUGACUAAGAAGCUCCGGCUAAAUACGUG